rnacentral:rRNA from 1 species
UAAUACGUAGGUGGCAAGCGUUGUCCGGAUUUACUGGGCGUAAAGGGCGUGCAGGCGGUUUGCUAAGUCUAGGGUGAAAGCUCCCGGCUUAACUGGGAGAGGUCCUUGGAUACUGGCAGACUUGAGGAGGGUAGAGGAGAGUGGAAUUCCCGGUGUAGUGGUGAUAUGCGUAGAUAUCGGGAGGAACACCAGUGGCGAAGGCGGCUCUCUGGGCCCUACCUGACGCUGAGACGCGAAAGCGUGGGGAGCGAACCGGA